GGGGGGAGGCCAGAUCCUAGGCUGUGUCCCCGGCGACCAGUGCUCCCAGGCCUGCGCUGUUGGAAUCGCGCUCCCGGUGUAGCUCUGU
rnacentral:pre_miRNA from 1 species